rnacentral:rRNA from 1 species
CAGCAGCCGCGGGAAAACGUAGGGUGCAAGCGUUAAUCGGAAUUACUGGGCGUAAAGCGUGCGCAGGCGGUUUGUUAAGACAGAUGUGAAAUCCCCGGGCUUAACCUGGGAACUGCAUUUGUGACUGGCAAGCUGGAGUCUGGCAGAGGGGGGUGGAAUUCCGCGUGUAGCAGUGAAAUGCGUAGAUAUGCGGAGGAACACCGAUGGCGAAGGCAGCCACCUGGUCCACUUCUGACGCUGAGGCGCGAAAGCGUGGGGAGCAAACAGGAUUAGAUACCCGUGUAGUCCCUGUCUCUUAUAC